GAUGAACGCUGGCGGCGUGCCUAAUACAUGCAAGUCGAGCGAAUGGAUUAAGAGCUUGCCCUUAUGAAGUUAGCGGCGGACGGGUGAGUAACACGUGGGUAACCUGCCCAUAAGACUGGGAUAACUCCGGGAAACCGGGGCUAAUACCGGAUAACAUUUUGAACCGCAUGGUUCGAAAUUGAAAGGCGGCUUCGGCUGUCACUUAUGGAUGGACCCGCGUCGCAUUAGCUAGUUGGUGAGGUAACGGCUCACCAAGGCAACGAUGCGUAGCCGACCUGAGAGGGGGAUCGGCCACACUGGGACUGGGGCACGGCCCAGACUCCUACGGGAGGCAGCAGUAGGGAAUCUUCCGCAAUGGACGAAAGUCUGACGGAGCAACGCCGCGUGAGUGAUGAAGGCUUUCGGGUCGUAAAACUCUGUUGUUAGGGAAGAACAAGUGCUAGUUGAAUAAGCUGGCACCUUGACGGUACCUAACCAGAAAGCCACGGCUAACUACGUGCCAGCCGCCGCCGCAG
rnacentral:rRNA from 1 species